GCAGCGCGUGCACGCCUGUCUGUCACUGUUUGACAAAUACUGUUACGCGCUUACACACGCGUGCGGUCGCAAUUUGUGAUUGUACACAAUAGAAAGUUGAUCUGCACCUUGUGCAGCACUCCGUGUAACAUGACCGCGUCGUGUAGUUGGCCUUUUCAUUUUAGUCAGCCAGGGGAGGCAGCAGUGAGCCAUACUUUGCCUAGUGGAAAAGAAGAAGAAGACGAAGAAGAGUCUCACUGACAACUAGAGCUUCCGGAGUCGGACUGUUAUCGGCAGUGGAAACACAGCUCUUUCGGUGUGUUUGCAGUUGAAUACAGCCUGCUUCCCCUGCUGUGGAAAAAGAGCCUCUGCAGAGUGGAACAGAUGUGUUGUUGAGACAGUGCUAAAACAGGGUUCGACAAGAGUUGCCAGUGUCUGAUUCUACACCAGAACACAGCAGUUAUACCUACAGCAAGUAGACAGAGGAAGAGGAGUGCGAGUUGUGAUCCCUGGUCAUGGAAAGUUACCCCCCCCACACACACACACACACACACUCCACACACACACACACACACACACACAACAGCUUCCGAGCAGUGGUGGGACUGGUGUUGGCCCAAGGUGACUGUGAACACAGGCUGCGUUGAUACUCUGCCUCAUUGUGUGAGUAAUAUUAUUAAUAAUAGUAUAGUAAUAAUAGUAAUAUUAUUCUAAAAGUGCAGUGACUGCCAUCUUGUUUCCCUCACAGCUUGUGCCUGACAGAGGACAGUGUCCAAGUGGAAGACCAGUGCUGUCGUGGAGGAUCAGUGUUGCCAACCACCACAAAACCAGCUUUCUUCCCCCACAGGCCCCAUUCUAUCAUUUCUGUCAAUAAAUAUUGUUUUAUAUGCCCUU